rnacentral:rRNA from 1 species
GUGUCAGCAGCCGCGGUAAUACGGAGGAUCCAAGCGUUAUCCGGAAUCAUUGGGUUUAAAGGGUCCGUAGGCGGUCAGGUAAGUCAGUGGUGAAAGCCCAUCGCUCAACGGUGGAACGGCCAUUGAUACUGCCUGACUUGAAUUUCCGGGAAGUAACUAGAAUAUGUAGUGUAGCGGUGAAAUGCUUAGAUAUUACAUGGAAUACCAAUUGCGAAGGCAGGUUACUACCGGUGGAUUGACGCUGAUGGACGAAAGCGUGGGGAGCGAACAGGAUUAGAUACCCUGGUAGUCC